UCCAGACUCCUACGGGAGGCAGCAGUGGGGAAUAUUGCACAAUGGGGGAAACCCUGAUGCAGCGACGCCGCGUGAGUGAAGAAGUAUUUCGGUAUGUAAAGCUCUAUCAGCAGGGAAGAAAAUGACGGUACCUGACUAAGAAGCCCCGGCUAACUACGUGCCAGCAGCCGCGGUAAUACGUAGGGGGCAAGCGUUAUCCGGAUUUACUGGGUGUAAAGGGAGCGUAGACGGCAUGGCAAGUCAGAUGUGAAAGCCCGGGGCUCAACCCCGGGACUGCAUUUGAAACUGUCAGGCUGGAGUGCAGGAGAGGUAAGUGGAAUUCCUAGGGUAGCGGUGAAAUGCGUAGAUAUCAGGAGGAACACCGGUGGCGAAGGCGGCCUGCUGGACUGCAACUGACGUUGAGGCCCGAAAGCGUGGGGAGCAAACAGGAUUAGAUACCCCCGUACU
rnacentral:rRNA from 1 species